rnacentral:misc_RNA from 1 species
CGGCAGCGUAAGAUGUGUAUAAGAGACAGGUGAAUCAUCGAAUCUUUGAACGCAUAUUGCGCCCUUUGGCAUUCCGAAGGGCAUACCUGUUCGAGCGUCAUUACACCCCUCAAACUUCGCUGUUUGAUGUUGGGCAAUGCCUGGAGGCGUGCCUAAAAUUUAGCGAUGGUACAUUAAACCUCAAGCGCACAGAUGUCGUUAUGUAGGCGAGAUGGCACCAGUCUCUUAAUGAAUUGCUGAAUGUUGACCUCGGAUCAGGUAGGGAUACCCGCUGAACUUAAGCAUAUCAAUAAGCGGAGG